GCCGGGCGCCGUGGUGUGUACCUGUAGUCCCAGCUGCUCAGGAGGCUGAGGCUGGAGGAUCGCUUGAGUCCAGGAGUUCUGGGCUGUAGUGCACUAUGCCGAUCAGGUGUCUGCACUAAGUUCGGCAUCAAUAUGGUGACCUCCUGGGAGCAGGGGACCACCAGGUUGCCUAAGAAAGGGUGAACUGACCCAGGUCGGAAACGGAGCAGGUCAAAACUCCUGUGCUGAUCAGUAGUGGGAUCACGCCUGUGAAUAGCCACUUCAUUCCAGCCUGGGCAACAUAGCAAGACCCUGUCUGU
rnacentral:SRP_RNA from 1 species